GGAGCCAUAGCUCAGUGGGAGAGCACCUGCUUUGCAUGCAAAAGGUUCCGGGUGCAAAGCCCUGUGUCUCUA